rnacentral:rRNA from 1 species
UACAGAGGGGGCAAGCGUUGUUCGGAAUUACUGGGCGUAAAGGGCGCGUAGGCGGCCUUCUAAGUCGAACGUGAAAUCCCCGGGCUCAACCCGGGAACUGCGUCCGAUACUGGAAGGCUUGAAUCCGGGAGAGGGAUGCAGAAUUCCAGGUGUAGCGGUGAAAUGCGUAGAUAUCGUAAGGAAGACCAGUGGCGAAGGCGGGUCUCUGGACAGUUCCUGACGCUGAGGCACGAAGGUCAGGGGAGCAAACGGG